rnacentral:rRNA from 1 species
AUCAACUUUCGAUGGUAGGAUAGAGGCCUACCAUGGUGGUAACGGGUAACGGGGUGUUAGGGCACGACACCGGAGAGGGAGCCUGAGAAACGGCUACCACAUCCAAGGAUGGCAGCAGGCGCGCAAAUUACCCAAUCCCGACACGGGGAGGUAGUGACAAUAAAUAACAAUACGGGGUCCUUUCGGGUCUCGUAAUUGGAAUGAGUACAAUUUAAAUCUCUUAACGAGGAACAAUUGGAGGGCAAGUCUGGUGCCAGCAGCCGCGGUAAUUCCAGCUCCAAUAGCGUAUAUUAAAGUUGUUGCAGUUAAAAAGCUCGUAGUUGAAUUUCGGGGUCAGUAGAUUGGUCGUGCCACUGGUAUGCACUGGUCUUACUGGCUCCUCCUUCCUGAUGAACCGUAAUGCCAUUAAUUUGGUGUUGCGGGGAGACUGGACUGUUACUUUGAAAAAAUUAGAGUGUUUAAAGCAGGCUAACGCUUGAAUACAUUAGCAUGGAAUAAUGAAAUAGGACGUUCGAUCUUAUUUUGUUGGUUUCUAAGAUUGACGUAAUGAUUAAUAGGGAUAGUUGGGGGCAUUAGUAUUCAAUUGUCAGAGGUGAAAUUCUUGGAUUUAUUGAAGACUAACUACUGCGAAAGCAUUUGCCAAGGAUGUUUUCAUUAAUCAAGAACGAAAGUUAGGGGAUCGAAGACGAUCAGAUACCGUCGUAGUCUUAACCAUAAACUAUGCCGACUAGGGAUCGGAUGAUGUUAAUUUUUUAAUGACUCAUUCGGCGCCUUACGGGAAACCAAAGUGUUUGGGUUC